ensembl:lncRNA
CAAAGCUGUCUGCAGAGAAGUUAUUAAUUUCAAAUCUCGUUUGUGCUAUGGCUUAGAUAUAAAUCCACCUGAUAUUUGACCACUAUUACUGUUGCCUUUUUUUUCCCAUGCCUCAGUUCAACCAGAUGCUUAAGCAAAUGACAAAUUCAAGCUGUAAGAACACAGAGUAAAUUUCAAGAUGAGCGAACUCCCGUAGAGGAUUAACCUCCACGUUUUCCAUAACCAAGCAGUGCUGAGGGUACAUAACACCUUUGCCAAAGACUAUUCUAGUUAAGAGACGUGUGACUGCAAUAGCAUCUGAAAGUCACUGCCAGACCCUUGUGAAAAGCAGGAGGUGAUGACAGAAAGGGGCAAAGAGCAUCAUGAAGGAGGCUUCACACACCAGGGUGCUGCUUCAGGAUCCUGAGACUCGUCACAGGAGGGAGAGAGCAUUGUUAGAUCCAUGGACAUGCAAGGAGAGGGAUGCUCCUGCAGAAGCAUGGUCCCCAACUAUAAAGGCAGCAUUGAAUCACAGAAUCAUUGAAAAGGUUGGAAAGCCAAUAAGAACAUCUAGUCCAACAAUCAACCCAUGCCUGUGACUGCUCAAGACCAUGUCAUCCAUGGAUACAAAAGGGUUUUCCUUUCGGACAAUAUGAAACAAAGUGCUUGGUGGGAUCAGACCAAGCAGCAGAGCCUUGCUUUGGAGCAGCUGCUCGUGCCACGUUGUUUUGUUUGCUGAUGUCCUUGGGCUCUGCAACCUGACAG